rnacentral:misc_RNA from 1 species
UCCUCGUUUAAGCGAGGCAGUCUGUCCAGAGUGCUCCCGACUCUCGUCGGGGUGGCAACAGGACACAAGGGUUGCGCUCGUUGCGGGACUUAACCCAACAUCUCACGACACGAGCUGACGACAGCCAUGCAGCACCUGUGCUAGCUCCCCUUGCGGGGUCGUUACCCUUUCAGGCUUCUACCACUAGCAUGUCAAGGCCAGGUAAGGUUCUUCGCGUUGCAUCGAAUUAAGCCACAUACUCCACCGCUUGUGCAGGCCCCCGUCAAUUUCUUUGAGUUUUAAUCUUGCGACCGUACUCCCCAGGCGGCGCAUUUAACGCGUUAGCUUCGCCACGAGUGGGGUCGAUUCCACUCACAGCAAAUGCGCACCGUUUACGGCUAGGACUAC